UUCCGGACGCAGGGAAAGACCGGUGAGAAUCCGGCGCUGACCCGCAACGGUGUGCUGCUACCACAAGUGGCGGCGAGCCCGAUCGCCUGCCCGGAG
rnacentral:ncRNA from 2 species